CGUUCCAUUAGGUAGUAGGCGGGGUAACGGCCCACCUAGCCGAUGAUGGAUAGGGGUUCGUGAGAGGAAGGUCCCCCACCAUUGGAACUGCGACACGGGUCCAAACUCCUACGGGAGGGCAGCAGUGAGGGAAUAUUGGUCAAUGGGCGAGAGCCUGAACCAGCCAAGUAGCGUGCAGGAUGACGGCCCUAUGGGUUGUAAACUAGCUUUUGUUGCGGGAAUAACGGUCUCCUCGUGAGGUGGAUGUGCAUGUACCGUACGAAUAAGGAUCGGCUAACUCCGUGCC
rnacentral:rRNA from 1 species